rnacentral:rRNA from 1 species
AGGACGAACGCUGGCGGCGUGCUUAACACAUGCAAGUCGAGCGGAAAGGCCCUUCGGGGUACUCGAGCGGCGAACGGGUGAGUAACACGUGAGUAAUCUGCCCCUAGCUCUGGGAUAGCUCCGGGAAAACCGGGAUUAAUACUGGAUACGACCACCUUAGACAUCUUUUGUGGUGGAAAGAAUUUCGGCUAGGGAUGAGCUCGCGGCCUAUCAGCUUGUUGGUGGGGUAACGGCCUACCAAGGCGACGACGGGUAGCCGGCCUGAGAGGGCGACCGGCCACACUGGGACUGAGACACGGCCCAGACUCCUACGGGAGGCAGCAGUGGGGAAUAUUGCGCAAUGGGCGAAAGCCUGACGCAGCGACGCCGCGUGGGGGAUGAAGGCCUUCGGGUUGUAAACCCCUUUCAGCAGGGACGAAGCGAAGUGACGGUACCUGCAGAAGAAGCGCCGGCUAACUACGUGCCAGCAGCCGC